rnacentral:rRNA from 1 species
GACGAACGCUGGCGGCGUGCAUAACACAUGCAAGUCGAACGGAAAGGCCCUGCUUUUGUGGGGUGCUCGAGUGGCGAACGGGUGAGUAACACGUGAGUAACCUGCCCUUGACUUUGGGAUAACUUCAGGAAACUGGGGCUAAUACCGGAUAGGAGCUCCUGCUGCAUGGUGGGGGUUGGAAAGUUUCGGCGGUUGGGGAUGGACUCGCGGCUUAUCAGCUUGUUGGUGGGGUAGUGGCUUACCAAGGCUUUGACGGGUAGCCGGCCUGAGAGGGUGACCGGCCACAUUGGGACUGAGAUACGGACCAGACUCCUACGGGAGGCAGCAGUGGGGAAUAUUGCACAAUGGGCGGAAGCCUGAUGCAGCAACGCCGCGUGCGGGAUGACGGCCUUCGGGUUGUAAACCGCUUUCGCCUGUGACGAAGCGUGAGUGACGGUAAUGGGUAAAGAAACACCGGCUAACUACGUG